rnacentral:rRNA from 1 species
AGUGAACGCUGGCGGUAGGCCUAACACAUGCAAGUCGAACGGCAGCACAGUAAGAGCUUGCUCUUACGGGUGGCGAGUGGCGGACGGGUGAGGAAUACAUCGGAAUCUACUAUUUCGUGGGGGAUAACGUAGGGAAACUUACGCUAAUACCGCAUACGACCUACGGGUGAAAGCAGGGGAGCUUCGGACCUUGCGCGAUUGAAUUAGCCGAUGUCGGACUAGCUAGUUGGCGGGGUAAAGGCCCACCAAGGCGACGAUCCGUAGCUGGUCUGAGAGGAUGAUCGGCCACACUGGAACUGAGACACCGUCCAGACUCCUACGGGAGGCAGCAGUGGGGAAUAUUGGGCAAUGGGCGGAAGCCUGAUCCAGCCAUACCGCGUGGGUGAAGAAGGCCUUCGGGUUGUAAAGCCCUUUUGUUGGGAAAGAAAAGCAGCAGGUUAAUACCCCGCUGUUCUGACGGUACCCAAAGAAUAAGCACCGGCUAACUACGUG